UGUCAGCCCACAGACAACCGGUUGACCUGUGAGUCUUCAAGCAGUAAUGAUGACUACGCCUGCCUUAAGUUCCAGUUUCCUGGACAUGUCAGCAUGAGAUUCUGUCCCCACCUGUCUUCAGUCUGGACCCAAUGAUUCGGACACCAGUCUUGUCGAGGCUAAAUUGAGAUCAAGCAUUGACGGGAAAACACCCAAAGUCCAUCACUCAUGCACCGAGGAUCUGGCUGAUUACUGGAAAUUUGGAAGAUUGUUCUUUAUCUGCACUGUCACUUCUGGUAAAUAUUUAUGGACCUUUUGCGGUAUGUUUUGCUUUGACUUAUCAACUGAUGGUGAAUAAUUGGUUGA